UACAGAGGGGGCAAGCGUUGUUCGGAAUUACUGGGCGUAAAGGGCGCGUAGGCGGCCUGCUAAGUCGAACGUGAAAUCCCCGAGCUCAACUCGGGAACUGCGUCCGAUACUGGCAGGCUUGAAUCCGGGAGAGGGAUGCGGAAUUCCAGGUGUAGCGGUGGAAUGCGUAGAGAUCCGGAAGAACACCAGUGGCGAAGGCGGUCUGCUGGGCAGUAGCUGACACUGAUGCGCGACAGCGUGGGGAGCGAACAGG
rnacentral:rRNA from 1 species